UACAGAGGAUACGAGCGUUGUCCAGAAUCACUGGGCGUAAAGAGCGCAUAAAUAACUUAAUAAGCGUAUGGUGAAAGUCCGGAACUCAACCCCGGAUCUGCCGUGCGAACUGCUGAGCUGGAGCACUGUAGAGGCAGGUGGAAUUUCGGGUGUAGCGGUGGAAUGCGUAAAUAUCCGAAAGAACACCAGUAACGAAGGCGACCUACUGGACAGUUGCUGACACUGAGGCGCGACAGCGUGGGGAGCAAAC
rnacentral:rRNA from 1 species